rnacentral:rRNA from 1 species
CCUGAUCCAGCCAUGCCGCGUGUGUGAAGAAGGCCUUAUGGUUGUAAAGCACUUUAAGCGAGGAGGAGGAUCUUUUGUUUCAUAACCAAGAUGAGUGGACGUUACUCGCAGAAUAAGCACCGGCUAACUCUGGGCCAGCAGCCGCGGUAAUACAGAGGGUGCGAGCGUUGUCCGGAAUUACUGGGCGUAAAGGAUGCGUAGGUGGAUACUUAAGUGGGAUGUGAAAUCCCCGGGCUCAACCCGGGAACUGCAUUCCAAACUGGGUAUCUAGAGUGCAGGAGAGGAAAGCGGAAUUCCUAGUGUAGCGGUGAAAUGCGUAGAUAUUAGGAGGAACACCAGUGGCGAAGGCGGCUUUCUGGACUGUAACUGACACUGAGGCAUGAAAGCGUGGGUAGCAAACA